rnacentral:rRNA from 1 species
UGGGGAAUAUUGGACAAUGGGCGCAAGCCUGAUCCAGCCAUGCCGCGUGUGUGAAGAAGGUCUUCGGAUUGUAAAGCACUUUAAGUUGGGAGGAAGGGAAGUAAGUUAAUACCUUGCUUCUUUGACGUUACCGACAGAAUAAGCACCGGCUAACUCUGUGCCAGCAGCCGCGGUAAUACAGAGGGUGCAAGCGUUAAUCGGAAUUACUGGGCGUAAAGCGCGCGUAGGUGGCUAAGUAAGAUGGGUGUGAAAUCCCCGGGCUCAACCUGGGAACUGCAUCCAUAACUGCUUGGCUAGAGUACGGUAGAGGGUAGUGGAAUUUCCUGUGUAGCGGUGAAAUGCGUAGAUAUAGGAAGGAACACCAGUGGCGAAGGCGACUACCUGGACUGAUACUGACACUGAGGUGCGAAAGCGUGGGGAGCAAACAGG